UAUACCUACGGGGGGCAGCAGUGAGGAAUAUUGGUCAAUGGGCGCAAGCCUGAACCAGCCAAGUCGCGUGAGGGAUGACGGUCCUAUGGAUUGUAAACCUCUUUUGUCGGGGAGCAAGGCCCGCCACGUGUGGCGGGAAGGAGAGUACCCGAAGAAAAAGCAUCGGCUAACUCCGUGCCCGCCGCCGCGGUAAUACGGAGGAUGCGAGCGUUAUCCGGAUUUAUUGGGUUUUAAGGGUGCGUAGGCGGAAGGUUAAGUCAGCGGUCAAAUGUCGGUUGU
rnacentral:rRNA from 1 species